GCCCUGCUAGCUCAAUCGGUAGAGCGUGAGACUCUUAAUCUCAAGGCUGUGGGUUCGACCCCCACGUAGGGCU